AUGCUUGUUCUUGGAUACAUUUCUCCUCGUCCUGCCAUUUUUGGCACUGUGAGUGGGCUCAUAAAGAUGAUGGGGUUUAUGAUGUUCAUGAAUACCCAAGUUUUCACGAGAGUGGUUUCUAUUUCUUUCUGCCAAAUUUUAUUUUUCUGUUCACUCACGCCCCCUCCCAUCACCACCCUUUGGCACGUCAAAUUCAACUUCACGAGCGGUGCACGGGAAAAGCGAUGUAUUUACGGCUGGUUCUUUAUUUCAAUUAAUAAUUAUGAUAGACUACAGAAAAAUCAUACAUUUGGGGAAAGGGGAAAAAGGAAAACAGGAGCAGGGAAAAGGAGGUUCUACUGCUGCAGUGGAAAACAACGCAUUUAUCUCAUGUAUUGUGGGCCACGCCACUUACAAUGUUGGAAAUGAACAACCUGAAUGCUGCAGAUGAAGAAUAGCAAAGCAUCUGCAUUAACAGUAGUUUUUUGCAAAAGAGAGUUACUCAGAAGAGCAAGUAACACCUACUGUGAUAGCCCUGCUGACUACUGGAUAUAUCAUGUCCUCUCCAGACUGAAGUGGAACUGUGGAAUGGAUUUCUGUAAUGACAGGCUGAAUUCUGGCUCUCAGAGAGUAACUGUUUUACUUUCACAGUCAAGAAACUCUAAAAUAUUAAACCACGUCAAAACCUUCAAACCUUUGCAAUGGUACCCUUCUUCUCAUCACAAUGAGCUUGUUCUUGCCUUCAAGGCAUGAGUCAACCCGUUAUUGCCCUUUUUUUUUUUUUCCCCUACUGGUUACUAUCUUCUCCAUAUCAUCUAUGUUCCAGUUGUUCACCUACCUCUUCAUGUUUUCUCUAUAACUUUCCCCUGUACAAAAACUGCUAGAACUGAUCACAAAGCUGGUACCUUUCAGAUCAUUCAGAAAGUAUUCUACCCCAGUUGCUUUACAAUUUUAAGACUAAGGGAACAUAUAAUAGCAAGGAAAAGCUCCAGGCAUAAACCUGGAACAAGAAGCACCAUAGCAAUUACAAACAAAUGAGCCAACGGAUAUUUAAAAUGUGAGAAACAAGCAGUGUGUGCAUGGAAACACAAGUAUUUCAGUCAGCCAUAGGUUUAUUUGUCAAUGUAGGGCAGAGCUAAAGCAUUACUAACAGGUUGUGUCAGGUAUUUGUGGAUUUUUAAAACAGCAUCAGCUUGAUUUGCCACUGAUUGGUCUGUUCACGUGUCCAAAGCCUAAACAUUUGUGUGAAUUAAGGUAAUGCUUGGGAACAGACUGUUCAUAGAAAUGUGCCUUAAAACUUUAGGUGACUAUAAUAUUCCAGAUGUGGCUAAUCACCACCUGACCAGUAUAGUUAUUUUAUAUCUGUUUUACUGUUCUGUUUUCUAACACCUGGCUUUCUUUUAUAGUGUUACAAUAGUGAGCAUUCAA
rnacentral:lncRNA from 1 species